AUCUAUAUCUAUAUCUAUAUCUAUAUCUAUAUCUAUAUAUGGAGAUAGAUAUAGAUAUAAAACAAGCAAAGAA
rnacentral:miRNA from 1 species